GCCAGAGUGGUGAAAUUGGUAUACACGCUAGGCUUAGGACCUAGUUCCGAUUAUUCGGAUUGUGGGUUCGAGUCCCACCUCUGGUACUA
rnacentral:tRNA from 1 species